UGGUGCCAGCAGCCGCGGUAAUUCCAGCUCCAAUAGCGUAUAUUAAAGUUGUUGCAGUUAAAAAGCUCGUAGUUGAAUUUCGGGGUUAGUAGGUUGGUCAUGCCUCUGGUAUGUACUGGUCUCACUGAUUCCUCCUUCCUUAUGAACCGUAAUGCCAUUAAUUUGGUGUUGCGGGGAAUUUGGACUGUUACUUUGAAAAAAUUAGAGUGUUUAAAGCAAGCUAACGCUUGAAUACAUUAGCAUGGAAUAAUGAAAUAGGACGUUCGAUCUUAUUUUGUUGGUUUCUAGGAUUGACGUAAUGAUUAAUAGGGAUAGUUGGGGGCAUUAGUAUUCAAUUGUCAGAGGUGAAAUUCUCGGAUUUAUUGAAGACUAACUACUGCGAAAGCAUUUGCCAAGGAUGUUUUCAUUAAUCAAGAACGAAAGUUAGGGGAUCGAAGACGAUCAGAUACCGUCGUAGUCUUAACCAUAAACUAUGCCGACUAGGAU
rnacentral:rRNA from 1 species